UUUGGAGGGAUAAGAAAGCAGUGUCUGUGAAGUGAGCCUCUGCUGAUACCACCCUCCUAUAGGAAUUGUAUGGGCAGAGAGCAGCCACACCAACAGGCAGAGUAAGGGCUGACUGCGCCAUCCUACAUAC